CCCUUAGAGUUUGAUCCUGGCUCAGAUUGAACGCUGGCGGCAUGCCUAACACAUGCAAGUCGAACGGUAACAGGCCUUCGGGCGCUGACGAGUGGCGGACGGGUGAGUAACGCGUAGGAAUCUGCCUGGUAGUGGAGGACAACCCGGGGAAACUCGGGCUAAUACUGCAUACGCCCUACGGGGGAAAGCGGGGGAUCUUCGGACCUCGCGCUAUCAGAUGAGCCUGCGUUGGAUUAGCUUGUUGGUGGGGUAAAAGCCUACCAAGGCGACGAUCCAUAGCUGGUCUGAGAGGAUGAUCAGCCACACUGGGACUGAGACACGGCCCAGACUCCUACGGGAGGCAGCAGUGGGGAAUAUUGGACAAUGGGGGCAACCCUGAUCCAGCAAUGCCGCGUGUGUGAAGAAGGCCUGCGGGUUGUAAAGCACUUUCAGUGGGGAAGAAAAGCGGGCGCUUAAUACGUGCUUGUCUUGACAUCACCCACAGAAGAAGCACCGGCUAACUCCGUGCCAGCAGCCGCGGUAAUACGGAG
rnacentral:rRNA from 1 species